ensembl:lincRNA linc-150 ncRNA
UUAAUAAAUAUUGUGGUCAUUGAUUGGGCGUUUAUCCGUUGAUUUAAGUACAUUAAUGGUCUUUGGGGCACAAAAUGUAACUUUUAUUUGGCUAAAAAAAAGUUACAUUUUGGUGACUGGUUAUCAGAAAAAAACCAUUUUGCAAAAGUGGUACAAAACAGUUCAGGCUCAGAACCUGAAGUUCUCGCAUAUUACAAUUAUUUUAUGAAGUCACAAAAAACCAGUGUAUCCUAACUUGCAGGAAAACGAUUCAUAAUUGAAAAUACUAUCACGUGGCCUUUACCCCAACAUAUUACAAAUAGUUGCCACCAUUUUUUUUUUAAUUUUCCAAUUUUUUUUCUCAAGUGCAUCAGAUCUUUUGCCAAUCAUUCAACUGGCGACAGUCUGCGAACAAAAAUCUCGAAAAAUGAGGAUAAAUGUGUUUCAUUUUUCACUUUCUCUAGUGACACUUUUCUGACUGGUGGUAUGAACAUGCCAAGACGGAAUUACCAAUCUGAUUUUCAAUUAUGGUCAACAGUUUUUGGAGAAUUUUUGUAAUUUUCUGAUAUCGUCGUCUACGUUCAAUUGAUGAUUCAAAAUGGCAGAAUUCAAUGAAUACAAAAAAAUUACGCGCACCGGCACUUUUCAGCAUCUCGAGUUAAUUGAAUAUUUCAGUAAUGCUCAGGUAGAUGUUCAAACAAAAUUUUAAAAACAGAAACUUAUUUUCUGGGCCAAAAAAUCUAUAAAAAAUUAUUUUUAAAAUGACUAUCUAAUUGAAAUUUCAAAUUGAUUUGUAUUUUUAGGCUUAAACAAAACACUAAUCUUGAGCCUAAUAUGGAUAAAAAGGGCCCUCGAAAUGUUCAAAAAGAUUAACAUUUUUGGGCAGAUAUUCUACACAAGUUCUUACCCGAUACAUAGAUUUUCACAAAUUGUCAUAGAUCACCACUUGCACUACAAAACCCCACCAUAUUAUUGUAAUCUGAAUGGUUAUUCUUAAGUGCGAUCGGUUUUCUCACCUUCCCGCUGAGCUGCACUUUUUACGUAUUUGCACUAACAUUUGUACAGUCAUCAGUUUUGUGUAAGACACCACACCUGCACAGUUCUCAGAGACACCACUUUGUGUCAUAGUUUUUCUUUUGUUUCACGUCAUGCACAUUAACCUGUCCGAAAAAAUGAAAAAAUCGAUACAUUGUACAUUGAAAAAUUCGUUUUGCACACGGUUCAAAAAGGCAACAAUGGUGACGGUUUGCUUGGACAUAACAAUUUAUUGAUUCUCUUUGUGAGUAUUGACUCACAAAUGUUUAUUGUUGAAUGUAUAUGGAAUUGUGACUGAUAACGGUUCGGCUUCCUUUUGAUUUUUAUAUUUGAAUAAACGAUUUUUCCCU